rfam:Bradyrhizobium japonicum TSDA 110 DNA, complete genome.
GCUACGGGGAUGUGCGAUCUCCCCGAGAGGCGCCAUGCCCAAGAAUCGCGUCCUGAUCUACCAAGGGCGCAGCAUG